AAGAAUGCUGAAAAUUAUACACAAAGAAGACAAAUACACAAAAAUCCUGAGCUAACACUGUGAAACACUCAUGACGUUUUAAAAUUAGCCUUGAAAUUUUUAGGUGUGUCAGCUUCCAGUUCUGACUUGCAGCACUGUGAUUGCUUGAGUUAGUGACACUGCACACCAAAGAAACACUUCAGAAAAAACUGCAGCAUAUACUCCCUUCAUUUCUUUGCUAGUAGACAGUGCGUUCAUUUUUAAUAAAAGCACUGAGGAAGAGAAGCGCAUCAUGAUGAAAGCAACAGAUUUGCACCACUACAUGUACCUUUUAUUAAGACACUACCAUCUUUUUCUGUUCUUGGUACAGGUGCACUGCUUAGUGUACUCAGUUUGCCCCUUCCAUGUCCAAGACAGGACUACAAAGGUCCACUAUAUCAGCAUUUAGUGGGAAAAGAAUGCAGUCCUGAUACUGUAAAGAUAACUUCUCCUAAACAAAUGUAGCUGAGAAGUACCCAGGAGAUAGUGCAUACAGUUUUUUGCAUAUUUCCAGAAAUGUUUACAUCUCUUUCUGCACUGCAGAACAGUUUAAUCAGCAUAAAGCUUUUUCCUGUUCUGCUGCAGACUGCUUGGUUCAGUAGUUCCCACAAUACCAUAGGUGUCAGUUUAUCUUUGCUGGCUACAACUCUCUCAGUCGCCUGCUCUUUACCCUGCUUGCACAGAUCUCUUUCUCUGACAGCUACUAUUUUCCAUGCAGCAGAAGCAGACACAGUCUCUCAAACAUACUAUAAUUUUUCCCAGUACCAUUGUCUCUUUGUAUGCUGCUGCUUUGGAUGGGCAUAGCUUCUCCCAGCUUGCUGAUUUCCCUUCAGUCUUCCAGACAUCAUUUCACAUAAUUUUACCAUGACUUCACUGCCCAAUCACUUGCCAAACUACUUGCAACUUUUUCUUUUCUUUUCUUUUCUUUUCUUUUCUUUUCUUUUCUUUUCUUUUCUUUUCUUUUCUUUUCUUUUCUCUGAGCAGCUCUGCAGAGAUUCUAUGCUUUGGUUCUGUACAUGCUUCUCAGUGUCAAGUUUUUUCCUCUUGUACCCUACCAGCCAAAGAUUGUCCAUAUAAAGCAGUGUAAAAUAUAUCAUUAGAAGGCCUCCUUGCCAUAGUGUUCCCAGUUAUUUUAGCUUUAGGCUUCUAUCCUGGGUUACUAUACUUCUUUAAGUUCAUUUUUUCCAAGAUCAAGUCCAAAAAUACCUGAUCUGACAGGCUUUGGCAGAAGAUUGCAAAAAUACAUCCACAAAGCUCAGGAGUGUCACCAGCUUGAUCGCUGAGGUUAGGUGCUUUGGAGCUGUCCCAGCCACAACAGCACCGACUGAUCGCCAGGUACAGGGGGGCUUCGGUCGGUUCCCUCACCCAGGGAUUCCCGAGACUACAGAGCAGCCGGGGAAAUCUCGCGAGAACGGCUGGCGUGAAGUGGCCGUUGCCAGGGCAACGGCACUGCGUCCACACCCCUUGCCACGCAAAAGCCUCCGGGAGCAUCGCUGCCCACCGGAGACAGAGAGGAGGAGUCGGGGUGUGUGAAUCACCGAGGUUAUUUUAACGAGAAGACACUUAAAUCUUCUGGAAAUGGAGCAAGACCAGAGAGGACUCCAGCAAAGGACUUUGGACAGGAAAAAUGCAACAGAAAGUCCCAGAGAAUGAACUAAAUCCUUUGUUUUUGGAGCAACGGGUAAAAGGCGGCAGCAGAAGGGCAGUCUGACAAAAUAGCAUCUGAU